AAAAACUGAGCCCAACCCAGCAAGAGACCUCAGUGCCUGCCUCCCCACACACGGCCACACCCCACCCCAGAGGGGACGCGGCCAUGGAGGGUCCGACCGCGGCGGGCGGCAGGUGCCGCUGGCGGAGGCGGAGAUCCAGCAGCUCCGCGUCGACACCAAGCGGGUGCUCCUCUCCAAACACAACCUCGCGAUAUCCAUGGUCAGUUUGUUGAUCUUUUGAGGUUGUGUGAUUUGGGUGGUUAUCCUCCAACUUCAACUUUUGUAUUCCUCAGAGACCACGUAGAUAGAGGCAAACAGAGUUUGGAACUAUAUGCUUGCUGCUGGCAUACAAAAUAAGCACUCAUUGACGACAAGAUACUGUGCAUGCAUGGUGGCCUGUCACCUGAACUGAAUGAUCUGGACAAAAUAAAGGAUAUUGAGAGACCAGCUGAGAUUCCUGAUUAUGGUCUCCUCUGUGAUUUGCUUUGGUCUGAUCCUAGUCCCGAUGGAGAAGGUGGGGGGAGACUGACAAAGGGGUUUCAUGUACGUUUGGCGUGGAUAUGCUUGUACAGUUUUUUUGGAGAAGAACGAUCUUGACCUUAUAUGCUGAGCACAUCAGGUGGUAGAAGAUGGUUACAAGUUCUUCGCCCAGCGGAGAUUAGUGACAAUCUUCUCAGCUCCAAAAUAUUGUGGGGAAUUCGAUAAUGUAGGUGCUCUGUUGAGCAUAGAUGAAAACCUAUUGUGUUCAUUUCAAAUCUUGAAGCCAAUGGAAAGAGACACACCACGUGUAAGGAGAUUAAUUCCAAAUAAGCCAGCACGUGGGGAAAGCUCCUGAUGAACAUCCAGUUCCUUCAAUGAAGGGGGUGAUCUGAUCUACUCCUAUUGUUUAGAUCCACCAGGGCAUGGCAUCCACCAGCCAAUCAUCUUCCCUAAUGGCCCUUAAUUGAUGAGCAUUUGUAACACACGAGUUCUUCUGUACAUCAUUAGACCGGAUUCAGCAGCACCGUCCAUUCCGAAUGUUCCUCCUGCUUUUUGUUAGCUGCUUUUGCUUUUUGUGAUGUAUUUUUGCCUUUGAGUGUAGAUAGUUUUGGUUUUUGUGGGUUUACCUGUGUGAUGUAUUUUGACUUACAUUCUGUGGUAUGGUGAGGGAAGGUCUCACAGGAUGUAGUUUCUAACUUUCUACUAUCUGCUAUUAUUUCUUAUUUUCUUUCA